rnacentral:rRNA from 1 species
GGAUACAACGGGAAACUUGUGCUAAUACCCGGGUAAGCCCUUACGGGGAAAGAUUUAUCGCCGAAGGGAUCGGCCCGCGUCUGCAUUAGCUAGUUGGUGGGGUAACGGCCCACCAAGGCGACGAUCAGUAGCUGGUCUGAGAGGCCUGAUCAGCCACACUGGGACUGAGACACGGCCAGACUCCUACGGGAGGCAGCAGGUUAAGGAAUCUUGGAC